GCGAAAGUGUAUAUAAAGUUGUCCGAGAUCUCGAUUCCGGCAUAACAUAUAUUUUUGUGCAGAUUUAUUCUUUGUUUUCACAUUAAUCCUCAAAAACCAACCAACAAAUCAAAAAUGGGCGCUGAAAAAGUAUCCAUGAACAUCGUUGUCGUCGGACAAGUCCAAUCUUCCAAGGCCGUCAAAAUCGUCGCCAAGGCCACACCAGCCACCAACCAACUCAUGAACUGUUAACUUAUGUACUACAUACAUCAUAAACAGAAAUGCCAUAGUUCAAACAGUACAAUAAUAUGUGUCUAAUUCAUUAAGUAUUGUCAAAAAAAAAAAAAUCAGUUAUUUCCGAUGUACAUUACAAUAUUUGGUCUUAUUUUUUUUUUUUUAAUCUUUACCUGUUUAAAUUCACUUAAUCUGUGAUUACAAAAUUAUGUAAAUUCAUACGUUGAUUCUAAUAAGUUUAUUAUAAGCUUAUUUUAUGAUUUUUAUUUAUAUUGCUAAUAUAAAGUCAUUUAUCUUUCUUUUA